GGUUAACCACCUAGCAGGGGACAGGAACAGGUUAACCACCUAGCAGGAGACAGAACAGGUUAACCACCUAGCAGGGGACAGGAACAGGUUAACCACCUAGCAGGAGACAGGAACAGGUUAACCACCUAGCAGGAGACAGGAACAGGUUAACCACCUAGCAGGAGACAGAACAGGUUAACCACCUAGCAGGAGACAGAACAGGUUAACCACCUAGCAGGAGACAGGAACAGGUUAACCACCUAGCAGGAGACAGGAACAGGUUAACCACCUAGCAGGAGACAGGAACAGGUUAACCACCUAGCAGGGGACAGGAACAGGUUAACCACCUAGCAGGAGACAGAACAGGUUAACCACCUAGCAGGAGACAGAACAGGUUAACCACCUAGCAGGAGACAGGAACAGGUUAACCACCUAGCAGGAGACAGGAACAGGUUAACCACCUAGCAGGAGACAGGAACAGGUUAACCACCUAGCAGGAGACAGGAACAGGUUAACCACCUAGCAGGAGACAGGAACAGGUUAACCACCUAGCAGGAGACAGAACAGGUUAACCACCUAGCAGGAGACAGGAACAGGUUAACCACCUAGCAGGAGACAGAACAGGUUAACCACCUAGCAGGAGACAGGAACAGGUUAACCACCUAGCAGGGGACAGGAACAGGUUAACCACCUAGCAGGAGACAGGAACAGGUUAACCACCUAGCAGGGGACAGGAACAGGUUAACCACCUAGCAGGAGACAGGAACAGGUUAACCACCUAGCAGGAGACAGGAACAGGUUAACCACCUAGCAGGGGACAGGAACAGGUUAACCACCUAGCAGGGGACAGGAACAGGUUAACCACCUAGCAGGAGACAGGAACAGGUUAACCACCUAGCAGGGGACAGGAACAGGUUAACCACCUAGCAGGAGACAGGAACAGGUUAACCACCUAGCAGGGGACAGGAACAGGUUAACCACCUAGCAGGGGACAGGAACAGGUUAACCACCUAGCAGGAGACAGGAACAGGUUAACCACCUAGCAGGAGACAGAACAGGUUAACCACCUAGCAGGGGACAGGAACAGGUUAACCACCUAGCAGGAGACAGGAACAGGUUAACCACCUAGC